UCUUUCGUGGUGUAAUGGUAACAUUGGCGCUUGUCAUUCAACGAGCCGCGCCCGCCCCGAGUUCGAUUCUCGGCGAGAGAG